rnacentral:rRNA from 1 species
CCUACGGGAGGCUGCAGUGGGGAAUAUUGCACAAUGGGGGAAACCCUGAUGCAGCGACGCCGCGUGAGUGAAGAAGUAUCUCGGUAUGUAAAGCUCUAUCAGCAGGGAAGAAAAUGACGGUACCUGAUUAAGAAGCCCCGGCUAACUACGUGACGGCAGCCGCGGUAAUACGUCGGGGGCGAGCGUUAUCCGGAUUUACGGGGUGUAAAGGGAGCGUAGACGGCAUGACAAGUCUGGAGUGAAAUGGCGGGGCUUAACCCCGGAACUGCUUUGGAAACUGUGAAGCUAGAGUGCAGGAGAGGUAAGUGGAAUUCCUAGUGUAGCGGUGAAAUGCGUAGAUAUUAGGAGGAACACCAGUGGCGAAGGCAGCUUACUGGACUGUAACUGACGUUGAGGCUCGAAAGCGUGGGGAGCAAACAGGAUUAGAUACCCUUGUAGUC